UUUCCUUGGAAUAGGACCUUGAUAAUUAGUGUAGGGAGAGGGUUAUGAGUUGUUGGGGUUGGGUAGGAUAAAUGCAUAUAGACAUUUCUGGAAAUUCUUGUCACUGCAUAUUACACUUACAACUUGAUUUUUAUCGUAUUGAGUUAUGUGAACUCACUUCUCAUCAUUCACAGGUGGAGUAAGGACGGAAUUGGGAUCCGAACGGCUGGUAACGGAGCCCCGUCGGUAGUGCCAUAGGGCACAAGUUUUGUUGUGAUUUAAAGCAGUUUGAAAGGAUGGUUUAGUUUGGAUAUUGAAUAUCUAGGAAUGUUUGAUAUUGUAUUAGUAUGUGUUGUAGAGGUGGAGAUGUAUGUACAAUUGAUUUGGAACAUGGAAGGUGGACAAAUUUCUCUUGUGCAUGGUUGGAAUAAUAUGGAUUCGGUAUUGUGUUGUAUGAGUGCUUUAUCGUACACCGUUAAAAAAAAAAAACGGGGUGUUACAC
rnacentral:lncRNA from 1 species